CCUACGGGGAGCAGCAGUGGGGAAUAUUGCACAAUGGGGGAAACCCUGAUGCAGCGACGCCGCGUGAGUGAAGAAGUAUUUCGGUACGUAAAGCUCUAUCAGCAGGGAAGAAAAUGACGGUACCUGACUAAGAAGCCCCGGCUAACUACGUGCCAGCAGCCGCGGUAAUACGUAGGGGGCAAGCGUUAUCCGGAUUUACUGGGUGUAAAGGGAGCGGAGACGGCAGCGCAAGUCUGGAGUGAAAUCCCAUGGCUUAACCAUGGAACUGCUUUGGAAACUGUGCAGCUAGAGUGCAGGAGAGGUUAGCGGAAUUCCUAGUGUAGCGGUGAAAUGCGUAGAUAUUAGGAGGAACACCAGUGGCGAAGGCGGCUUACUGGACUGUAACUGACGUUGAGGCUCGAAAGCGUGGGGAGCAAACAGGAUUAGAUACCCGGGUAGUC
rnacentral:rRNA from 1 species